ACCAGGUAGCAUUCCUCACCGACGUCGAUCGGCUUGCUGCAAUCCGUAAGGAAUCCACCACAACCGAUUCGAACGUCGUUCGCACGUAGCGUUGAACGCUUUGUUCCGAGGGGCAAAUAGAGAUCGAGGCCUCAUGCCCACAACAUGUUCCGCAUCCGAGAUUUCGAGCAUUACGCCCUGGGUGGGAAACACGAGCGUAUGCACACACACACACACGAGAGUGCCAACCACGACGCAUGCUAUGAGUUCCAAUCCGCACCACAACACCGAUAGGCGAAGCAGAGCAAAAUGAAAAAAAGUACAAUUUAUCUAUCGUAAUGCCUCAAAGAUAGGUAUCGAGCACAGGAGGCCACAAUCGGACGGGCUCGGAAGCCCUUGUGCCGAUGAUUGAAGAGGCGCGGUUGGGAUGUC
rnacentral:misc_RNA from 1 species